GAUGAACGCUAGCUACAGGCUUAACACAUGCAAGUCGAGGGACCGGCGCACGGGAGAGUAAUACGUAUCCAACCUGCCCUGUACGCGGGGAUAGCCUUUCGAAAGAAAGAUUAAUACCCGAUAUAAAGGAUGGGGAUGCGUUCCAUUAGGUUGUUGGUGAGGUAACGGCUGACCAAGCCUUCGAUGGAUAGGGGUUCUGGGAGGAAGGCCACUCGAAUUGAGACUGGGACACGAUCCAAACUGCUACGGGAAGCGGCAGUGAGGGAUAUUGGUCAAUGGGCGCUAGCCUGCACCAGCCAAGUAGCGUGAAGGACGAAGGGUUGUGGGGCGUGAACUUCUUGUUAUAAGAAUAGGUAUUAUAUGAAUAAGGACCGGCUAACUCCGUGCCAGCAGCCGCGGUAAUUC
rnacentral:rRNA from 1 species